UGCUUUCUUUAGUACUAAGGUUCUGUUUUUAAUCUCUAUUAAGCUUAGGGCUUUUUACCCUUCUUCAUUAGCUAACAAUAAUCCAAUCUCUUUCUUUAACAAUCUCAAACCCGUUACUAGACUUUUUCUAACUUUUUUAGGUUACUUCUCCUAGAAUCCUUUUCCCCUUUCUUGUAAACAAUGAAUUCAACCCUUUUUCUCUCUUUUAAACUUUUCCCAACCCAUAGAAUAAGUACCCACCUAGUCCUAUCCAGUCCGGAUAACGCGAACUAGAACUACAUGAGAUACUAUCUUUGUCGUUACAAACCUAACACUUUCUACCAAGCUUAAUCGAAAUAAGACCUCGCAAACACUCACAAGUGAUACAUUGCUUGAAAGAAGGCUUAGGUUAGGGUGUGGGGAAACUGCUCUAAAGAUGAGAGUCAGCUAUUUGGAUCAACAAGAGUGGUGAAAUGAAUAAGAAGAUCCAAAGAUUUUAAGGGUAACCAUGAGUUUAACAAGAAAUGCAUAGUAUGAUAAUUACAAGUCAAAUUAUGGUUCAAAUUGAUAGGGAAUAGCAUCAAAUCGCAGCGAGUUCCGACUAAGGAAGGUCAAGCAUAUGAAUUCAAAAGAUGGUGCGGUUUUACUUCAAGUUCAAUCGGUUAAGCACUAGACAACUAACAACAAGGGCAUUGAAACUAUCUAGUGAACAUUGCAAAUUUACAAGGCUAUGAUAAUCAUUAUCCCCUAUGCAAGUGCAAAAUGCAACAACCUAUAUGAUAAUAUUCUAAAAACAGCCCUAAUAAUGCAAAUGUAAACUACAUGACACUCUAUUUUUUUGGAAUCAUUUUCGGAAAUUUUUAAAUUUUUAUGGGUUUUCUAUGCCUUAGAUGAUGCAAAAAUUUGAAUAAGAAAACAUGAAACAAAAUUAGAUACAUCUUGAACUCUCUCCUAAACUUAAAUUACACUGUCCCUUGUGUAAUAAAAAUUCAAAGAAGAAUUCAAGAGAAAUAACCACACAAAGCAAGAAAUAAAAGAAAUGCAAUGAUAUAUACAAUGAAAAGGAGUGAUACCUCAACAUUUAGACGAAGAGGUUCUGCACAAACUCGUCCAGGCGGUCUUGUGUGUACUCAGGAUCACGGUGGAGGUGUUGGGGUUGUACUCGGUUGACCCGUCGAGCAUGUAGCCCGAGUAGUACUCCUCCCGGCUUGGGUCAGCUUUCAGAACCAACUGGUUCACUAGACCGGGUGGGCGCCUGUUAAAAAGGGCGGCCUGAGAAGGUGGAGCUCCUCCCGAGCUCGUAAUUUGAGGCUCUUGGCGGGUCAAAACGAGCGUCCCUUUGUUGUGCCACACUCGUUGAGUUACAUCUCCUGAACUCGGGUGGAGGUGGUGGCGAUCUCUGCCUUCUUUGCAGCUCCUGAAUUUGAACCGCCAUGCCGUCCAUUGCUCUCUUCAUCUUUCUCACCUUCUUCUUUAACCUAUGAACAUCUUUCUCUGAAACUUGCCCAAACCCUUGAGCAUUCCCAACUUCUUGUGAACUUGACCGGGAUCUGUCUCUUGAUCGGACUUAGCAUAGUUUUCAAAGAAAAACUGCUCCGCUGCAGCUUCACACGAAUCUUCUUGUUCAUCAAACUGUUCAGCUCGACUGAACUCAGCUUGUUCAUACUCGGCCUGCUGAAAGUCACUCGACCGAGUAUAAUCUUCCUGCUCACCUUCUUCUUCAUUGAACUCUGCUCUUUCUUCUUGAGACUCACUUCCUAUGCUCGGCUCUGCUUGUAGAGGUGCAAGGACAUUGACUAAGAUCGAUUGAGGAGGAUAAAAGUCAAUGUUGUUCCCAAUCCUAACUGUGGUGAACUUCUUGCAACGGAGUGCUAGCCUAGAGAGACCUAGCGUGUAGUGCUUGAACUUGAAAUAGAGUUGAUCAGCUGGGGCAGAUCUAUCAAAAUAGCAUUUCCUCUUCAAGUACUCCAUAUCAAUAUAGGUUGUUGUGUGAGUGGGGGUGUGAAGAGGAACUCCAGCGGCUAUUAGGAUGGGCGUGAUCACUCCUCCAGCACAUAAGCUUCCUCCAUAGCCGGAUUGGUGGAUACCGGUUGCAUAUUCUCUAAAACCAAUCAAGUGAUCAAUCAACACCACCGAAAGGGAUGUAUCAGCCCUAUCCCCUUCCAUCUCUAUCCCAUUCCUUGUGCGCCCCAAAAUGAAGCAUAAGGUGAGAUCAAGCAACUUCAGUUCUCCCUCUCUCAUUAACAUGGUCGGUUGUCUUCUUUGGGAAGAAGGCACUUGCAAUGCAAAGGUGGAGAUACCUUAGCACCGGGCUCCUUAUCAACGAACUCUUGGCCCUAGAUUACUUGUAGGGGAGUGGACCGGCGAUUGUCAACCAUAGAUCUAGGAGCUCGUCCUUGCUGAAGUUUUGGCGGAUCCCAUACUUGGUGGAGAACUUGAAAACAGCAUCCAACUGCCUAAUAGAAAGGGAGUAUUGAAUCCCAAACACCAUGAAUGUGAUAUAGCCAACUCCCUUAUGCAGUUCUCUCUCCCUUUCUUCAGCAUAGAAAUGAAGCUUCAAAGUGGCUAGGAAUUGGCAGCUCUCAGUUUGGUAUCCUUCACACUUGUAGGAGAAGAAGGUCUCCAACUUGGCCAUCUCCAUGAGGUAGUCAACAUCCCUACAUAUCCCCAAAGCUUGCAUGGUAGGUUUAUGGGGAUAUCUUGUCCCCUCAAAACUCAGCUCCAUGAGAUACUGGUAGUGCUCUUCAAUGGUAGGCUCUUUCUUUCUCCUUGGGUGGUUUCUUCUUCUCCUUGUAAGAACUAUCGGGACCUCUUCAUCAAUUUGCACAUCUUCCUCAGAUGCGUCCUUCUCUAGCAUGGACUCCUCCUCUAUUGCAGCCGACUCGGACUCCCAAACCCUCUUGCCUCUUGCAAUUUCCUCUCGAGCAGCCGUAGAACGAGCCAUAGAGGACUCCAAGGCCAUACUCGGCCAUUGUACUCGGCCUGUCAUCCGAGUAAAACCUGGACUCGCAGCUUCCUGAUUCCUUGACUGAUCCUUCUCAUUAAUCAUCUCAAACCUUCUUGCCACAACUCGAGCAGAGGCUCUCCUUCUUGAUUCUUCGGGAUUCAUAAUCUUGGGAUGAUUUACUACAGGUAGUCACCAAAAAAUAACUAAAGGUAGGUCAAAGUAGAAGAGAAAUUGAUGUUUAAGGAUGAACAAAGGGUGUAAGAGAGGUUUUGAAAAGGUUUGUAUGGAGAGAAAACAAGAGAUUUUGGCAAAGUUUCUCGGAAUUCUAGAGAAGUGAGAGUGAAAACUUGAAAUGUUUGGAGAGAAGAAGUAAAAUUCAAAAUUUUUGAGCAAAGAGAGAGUGUAAGAGACUUAGCUUGUUGAGUGUGGUUUUAUAGACCAGAAGAUUUGAUCCUAGCCCUAUAAACACCUUAGAUCUUCACCGUUCAUUUGGUCAAGGGCACAUGUUUCACUAUUUGCAGAAGAAUCUUUGAAGGGCUUUGGGGAGCAGGAUUUGGUUGGUGGGGCCGAGCAAAUUCAAAUUCAAAUUUGAAUUUGAAUUGUGUUGACCUCGCACGUGUGAACUCGGCUGACAUACUCGACACGCGUGUCGAGUACAGUGUUGGGCCUGAUGGGCUUCUUUUCUGACUCGUCUUCGGGCCGAGUGCUGCAUCUUCUUGGGCCUUUGAACAGUGAGGCCCAUACUCGACCAUAGGCCGAGUGGUAUGGGCCGAGUGCUAUUCAAUCUUGGGCUUUUGGUCAAUUGAAGCCCACACUCGGCCUGUAGCCGAGUGGUACGGUCGAGUGUGGCCUGAAAUUCCUUAUAAGUCUUUUUUUUUUCCUGAAACACUUAAACAAAAACAUCAAAAAUAACAAGAAAGCAAUAUAUACAAGAAUAGACAUGGGACUUCCUCCCAAGUGAGCUUGUUUAAAGUCACUAAGCUUGACUCUCACUAUGUUUAUGUAGAGAAAAGAUUGAGGAGAGGAACUGAGAAGUCCUCAUCCUCAUUUGCUGAAUCCUCAAAGUCUGAAUCUCUUUGCAACAGACAAAGGCAUCAAACUAACCGAGGCUCCCAAAUCACAAAGACUAUUGUUGAACACUAAGGGUCCUAGCGAACAAGGUAGAGUGCAGAAACCUAGAUCACCUAGCUUCUUUGAUAUCACCUUCCUUUGAAUGAUAGCACUGCACUCAAAACUCAAUUCAACUAUUUGCUGAGCUUCUUGGGGUCUUUCCAUGAUCACUUCCUUGGGAGUAUCAACCAAGGGUAUCUUCUCUUCUAACUCUUUGAUACACUUGAUGAACAUCAUCUUGUGUUUCUGGAAGAUCCUUUCAUUAACCUGUGCAAUCCUUUCUGGAAAGUAUGGUUUAGGUUCAUAGCGAGGUGGAAUAGGGAUUGGGUUGCUCGGGUCAUGUGCUCGUUCGACAAGCCGAGCAAAGAAGUCGAGUUCAAUCUCCUGUCUUGAUUUUGGUCUCAAAACCUCCCCUUCUUGAAUCCCACUGUCCGCAGUGGCAGAAGUAUUAACUAUGGUGAUAGUAUGGGCAUACUCCUUUGGAUUUUGAACAGAUUUUCCAGGAAGUUGUCCGGGGUGCUUAGGAGCUGAAGUAGAAGCAAUGUAUCCCUCCAUGGUCUUGACUCUAGUGUUAAGAGCAUCUAUCUUUAUAUUCAGGUCGUUAUAAGAGCAAUCAAUCCUGGUGGUGAGUUCAGCUAGCUUCUUAUCCAUGGUCAUGGAGCAUGAGGCAUGUCCUUGCACAAGCUGAUGAAGUAGAUUCUUCAUCUCUGAGUCUUGUGCUGAAGUUUGCUGUAGUUGCUGGGUGAAGCCUGGAGGUCCAAAGUUCUGCUUUUGAUUGUAGCCUUGGUUAUAGGGUACAAAGGGCUUAGCUUGAGGUGGUUGGUUCUGUGGGGGGUAGACUUGAUCUUGUGGGUUUGCCACAUUGUUGCUUCUGUAAGAGAGAUUAGGAUGAGGGGGUUUGUAGUUGUUGAAUCCCUUGUUGUAGCCACCUUGAUUCUGUAGGUAGCUCACCUCCUCAAGAGUAAGAUUCUCCCCUUCUUGGAGUUGUGUAAGCUCUUCUUCUGUAAUGUAGUGGACAUUUCUUUGUUGAGCAAGCACCAAUUUGUCAAUCUUAUCAUUGAGAGCUUUGAUCUUCUUCUUGUGCCUGUCCUCAGAAUCGCUAGUGCCUCUGUUAGUGCGAUCAUAGUCCUCAUUGUAAUUCCCAUCAGAUUGUGCUAGGUUUUCAACAAGUUCCCAACCUUCAGCUACAUCCUUGUUGAGAAAGUUACCAUUGGAAGCAGUAUCCAAGAGCAUCCGGAUCUUGGGUAAGGCACCUCGGAAUAGAGUACUGAGGAGGGAGGCCUUCUUGAAUCCGUGGUGCGGGCACUGAGUGGUAUAUCCUUUGAAACGCUCCCAUGCUUCAGCGAAUGAUUCUGAAUUCUUCUGAUUGAAUCCCGAAAUCUCAUUUUUCAGUCUAGCCGUUCUUGAGUUAGAAAAGAACUUGGCUAGGAAAGCUUUCUUGCAAUCAUCCCAAGUGUCUACCGAGUUGAUAAGUGUGUAUUUUGCAUGUUUUGAGCAUCCAUUUGUCAUCACUUUAGCAUCAUAUCAUCACUGUUUUAUACCAUUUCACAUCAUUUGUCAUCACUUUGCAUGUUUAGGAUAGUUUUGCAUGCAUGUUGCAUAUUUCCGUUGAUUUCAGGUGAUUUGGAGCUGUUGACGAGCUAUCUAGAAGAAGCGGACCUGAUCGUGACAAACCACUCGACCCAGAGGUCGAGUAGGAGCUUCAAGACCUCAAGAGACCACUCGACCCCCAGGUCGAGCAGAGGACAUCACCACUUCACUUCACCACUCGACCACGAGGUCGAGUGCCCUCGUCUCCAUCACUCGAUCACUUCACUCGACCAUGAGGUCGAGUGUCUUCACCUUCACUGCCAGACCACUACUCGACCACAUCACUCUGCCUAGAGGUCGAGUACCUCCAUCACACCACUCGACUGCAUACUCGAUGACAAGCUUCAGAGCCUUCUUCAUUCCGCACUCAACUAGACACUCGAGCACAAGGAAGAAAAGAAGAUUCCAGCUAUUCACUUGACCUCUCACUCGACCACCUAGGUCGAGUACAAUUCUUAACCCGUCCAAAUACUUCGUCGUUUUGAGUAUUAGGGUUUCGGGAUAUUUGGCUAUAAGUAGCAUGUACUUCUCAUUUUCGCAGAAAA
rnacentral:sRNA from 1 species